GUCCACGCCCUAACGAUGUCAACUGGUUGUUGGACGGCUUGCUGUUCAGUAACGAAGCUAACGCGUGAAGUUGACCGCCUGGGGAGUACGGCCGCAAGGUUGAACUCAAAGGAAUUGACGGGGACCCGCACAAGCGGUGGAUGAUGUGGUUUAAAUUCGAUGCAACGCGAAAACCUUAACCUACCCUUGACAUGUCUGGAAUCCUGAAGAGAUUUGUGAGUGCUCGAAAGAGAGCCAUAACACAGGUGCUGCAUGGCCGUCGU
rnacentral:rRNA from 1 species